UGGGGAACUUUGGACAAUGGGCGCAAGCCUGAUCCAGCCAUGCCGCGUGCAGGAUGAAGGCCUUCGGGUUGUAAACUGCUUUUGUACGGAACGAAACGGCUCUGUCUAAUACAUGGGGCUAAUGACGGUACCGUAAGAAUAAGCACCGGCUAACUGCGUGCCAGCAGCCGCGGUAAUACGUAGGGUGCAAGCGUUAAUCGGAAUUACUGGGCGUAAAGCGUGCGCAGGCGGUGAUGUAAGACAGGUGUGAAAUCCCCGGGCUCAACCUGGGAACUGCGUUUGUGACUGCAUAACUAGAGUACGGCAGAGGGAGGUGGAAUUCCGCGUGUAGCAGUGAAAUGCGUAGAUAUGCGGAGGAACACCGAUGGCGAAGGCAGCCUCCUGGGCCAGUACUGACGCUCAUGCACGAAAGCGUGGGGAGCAAACA
rnacentral:rRNA from 1 species